GCCCCGGUGGUGUAGUGGACUAUCAUGUGAGCCUGUCGAGCUUACGACUCGGGUUCGAAUCCCGACCGGGGCG
rnacentral:tRNA from 1 species